rnacentral:rRNA from 1 species
UACAGAGGUCUCAAGCGUUGUUCGGAUUCAUUGGGCGUAAAGGGUGCGUAGGCGGCGCGGUAAGUCGGGUGUGAAAUCUCGGGGCUUAACUCCGAAACUGCAUUCGAUACUGGCCGUGCUUGAGGACUGGAGAGGAGACUGGAAUUUACGGUGUAGCGGUGAAAUGCGUAGAUAUCGAUAAGGAAGACCAGUGGACGAAGGCGGGUC